rnacentral:lncRNA from 1 species
ACCGGGAUAUUCUCGGGACCCGCCUGACAUCACAAACCUAGAGCUUCCACCGGAACAGGUGAAAGAUGCAGGAUUCUCUGAUGGACGCUUCCUUGCCGACUCCCCGCGGCAGGGGCUGAUUAUCCCGCUUUGCAGAUGGGGAAAGAAUAUCCUUCUUGGGUCUGCUUUGCGGCUACAUCUAGACCUGAUCUGCACUGCCUGAUGUCAUUGUCAUCGGUGGCGCCCCAGCCCACGGACGGCGAGGGUGACACUCCCUGGCACACAGGCAUCCGAACCCGCGGCCCAGGCUCUGCGCCCCAAGUCCUGCAGGGAGGCCUCCCACAGCCGCUCAGCCCCAAGCCCUCGGCAGGCAGAGCUGCCCCCCCCCAUCCGGACGCCUGUGGACCCGGUAACACCAUCACCAUGUCUAAGUAGGCUGCGACGUUCCCAGGGAUGGUCUUUGAUUCUUCCCCAGAAGAGCAGAGACCUGCCAGCUCCUCCACGUCCCCGAGUGAGUGCGCUGCAGCCGCGUACAGUCAGCAAUUUCGUUGUUAACUUUCUCCUUAAGGAAACUUCCACUCCAGAAACUGCUCAGGGAAGAGGCUGCAAGGAAAGGAGACUAAUAAUCACUGUGUACCCGGCUCUUGUCAGAGCGGAAUUUUUUUGUUUCCCCUCCGUUUUAUGUAUCUACUCAUAAUCUCGCACACAUAAAAUUUAAGCACCGCUGCACUGUUAGCAUUUUGCAGGGAGAAAUUUUCUAAUACAACACCACCAAUUUACUUGAAAAAAAAGAAAAAAGCUGGAAUCUGUAUUUACAGCUAACGGGCCCACGGUUGCUUAUAAAGCUCCCGGCAAACCGGGUGACAGAUGCCACUGGCUUCCCUUCAUUCCCGUCUUCAUCCUCGGAACAUGCAGGCUUGGGAGAAAGGUGCCGCUUCCGUGACGGGGCCAAGGACUCGAGUCUCGGCCUCUUGUUGGAGAAGAAGGCAAUGCUCUUGGGGAAAACGUGCUCUGGAGCCUCCCUGGACUGGGACUACAUCCUACCUUCUUCGCCUACUAUCUUGGUUACUGUGGGCAAAUCCCUUCACCCUAAUUAAGUUCUGCUCUUGAUUCCUUUCGGGCAAAACAGGGAUGAUGACCCCACAUCUCAGGUCACUGUAAGGAUGCCUGCAGUACCCGCACUGGACGUAUACUAUUCAAUGUGACAAAUAGUGGAAAGAAUGUUGGGGGUUUGGGGGGCGGUGGAUGGAAGGGCUUAGCCUCCCCAUUUCUGGCCAAGUAGUAAGGUUCAACAGAGACCUCUGAGCUAAAAUUUUUAAAAGCCUCUUCCCAAUAAUAAAUAAAUAAAUAAAUANUGCCUAUAAUAAAUA